CCUACGGGAGGCAGCAGUGAGGAAUAUUGGUCAAUGGGCGCAAGCCUGAACCAGCCAAGUAGCGUGCAGGAUGACGGCCCUAUGGGUUGUAAACUGCUUUUAUGCGGGGAUAAAGUGAGGGACGUGUCCCUCAUUGCAGGUACCGCAUGAAUAAGGACCGGCUAAUUCCGUGCCAGCAGCCGCGGUAAU
rnacentral:rRNA from 1 species